AUUGAACGCUGGCGGCAUGCUUUACACAUGCAAGUCGAACGGGGUGAAGGGGCAACUCUCCAUUCAGUGGCGAACGGGUGAGUAAUGCAUCGGAACGUACCUCGUAGUGGGGGAUAACUCGGCGAAAGCCGUGCUAAUACCGCAUAUGCUCUACGGAGGAAAGCAGGGGACCUGAAAGGGCCUUGUGCUAUGGGAGCGGCCGAUGUCCGAUUAGCUAGUUGGUGGGGUAAUGGCCUACCAAGGCGACGAUCGGUAGCUGGUCUGAGAGGAUGAUCAGCCACACUGGGACUGAGACACGGCCCAGACUCCUACGGGAGCAGCAGUUAGGAAUCUUGGACAAUGGGCGCAAGCCUGAUCCAGCCAUGCCGCGUGAGUGAUGAAGGCCUUUAGGGUUGUAAAGCUCUUUCAGCGGGGAAGAUAAUGACGGUACCCGCAGAAGAAGCCCGGCUAACUUCGUGCCAGCCGCCGCAGUAAU
rnacentral:rRNA from 1 species